rnacentral:rRNA from 1 species
GUUUUGAUCCUGGCUCAGAUUGAACGCUGGCGGCAGGCCUAACACAUGCAAGUCGAGCGGAUGAGAAGAGCUUGCUCUUCGAUUCAGCGGCGGACGGGUGAGUAAUGCCUAGGAAUCUGCCUGGUAGUGGGGGACAACGUUUCGAAAGGAACGCUAAUACCGCAUACGUCCUACGGGAGAAAGCAGGGGACCUUCGGGCCUUGCGCUAUCAGAUGAGCCUAGGUCGGAUUAGCUAGUUGGUGAGGUAAUGGCUCACCAAGGCUACGAUCCGUAACUGGUCUGAGAGGAUGAUCAGUCACACUGGAACUGAGACACGGUCCAGACUCCUACGGGAGGCAGCAGUGGGGAAUAUUGGACAAUGGGCGAAAGCCUGAUCCAGCCAUGCCGCGUGUGUGAAGAAGGUCUUCGGAUUGUAAAGCACUUUAAGUUGGGAGGAAGGGCAGUAAGCUAAUACCUUGCUGUUUUGACGUUACCGACAGAAUAAGCACCGGCUAACUCUGUGCCAGCAGCCGCGGUAAUACAGAGGGUGCAAAGCGUUAAUCGGAAUUACUGGGCGUAAAGCGCGCGUAUGUGGUUUGUUAAGUUGGAUGUGAAAGCCCCGGGCUCAACCUGGGAACUGCAUCCAAAACUGGCAAGCUAGAGUAUGGUAGAGGGUGGUGGAAUUUCCUGUGUAGCGGUGAAAU